AAGCAUGGCGACCUCAAUGGCGAAGGUAGAAGAGGCCAAGACGGGAUUGAAGCUGGAGGAUCCCAUCCAAGUUGCGACAGGGCCUGAAUCACUCGACAAGGCCGUGGAGCUGAUCACCCUUUUCGACCUGCCGAAUGGUUUGCUACCGCUCAAGGAUGUGGUGGAGUGUGGUUGGAACCAGGACACAGGCUUUGUAUGGAUCACGCAGAAGAAGGCCAUUGUGCACAAGUUCAAGAGCAUCGACAAGCAGGUUAGCUACAGUGACAAGAUCACGGCGUAUUUGGAGAAAGGGCGGCUGAAGAAACUGACCGGAGUCAAGGCAAAGGAGCUUCUGUGGGUGUCCAUUGUGGACAUCUCCUUGGAGCAAAACAAAGACAACAUCUACUUCAAGAGCUUCAGCGGCCUGGGGAAGACCUUCCCUACCAUAGCCUUCCGAAGAGAUGCCGAGCAGUGAUACCCCACCUCAGUGAUUGCAAGAAUAAUUCUUGGACCCGCAAUGUUAACCAAUCCCAACCCCAUUUUUUUUGCAUGAAGAUUAUGUUGCAGGAGUUCGGUUCGGCAGGCAACGACU
rnacentral:lncRNA from 1 species